rnacentral:tRNA from 1 species
GGGCCGCUAGCUCAGCUGGCAGAGCAGCAGACUCUUAAUCUGCGGGUCGGAGGUUCGAAACCUCCGCGGCUCACGA